rnacentral:rRNA from 1 species
GGUGAAAAGCACCCCGGAAGGGGAGUGAAAUAGAACCUGAAACCGUGUGCUUACAAGUAGUCAGAGCCCGUUAAUGGGUGAUGGCGUGCCUUUUGUAGAAUGAACCGGCGAGUUACGAUUUGAUGCAAGGUUAAGCAGUAAAUGUGGAGCCGUAGCGAAAGCGAGUCUGAAUAGGGCGUUUAGUAUUUGGUCGUAGACCCGAAACCAGGUGAUCUACCCUUGGUCAGGUUGAAGUUCAGGUAACACUGAAUGGAGGACCGAACCGACUUACGUUGAAAAGUGAGCGGAUGAACUGAGGGUAGCGGAGAAAUUCCAAUCGAACCUGGAGAUAGCUGGUUCUCUCCGAAAUAGCUUUAGGGCUAGCCUCAAGUGAUGAUUAUUGGAGGUAGAGCACUGUUUGGACGAGGGGCCCCUCUCGGGUUACCGAAUUCAGACAAACUCCGAAUGCCAAUUAAUUUAACUUGGGAGUCAGAACAUGGGUGAUAAGGUCCGUGUUCGAAAGGGAAACAGCCCAGACCACCAGCUAAGGUCCCAAAAUAUAUGUUAAGUGGAAAAGGAUGUGGCGUUGCCCAGACAACUAGGAUGUUGGCUUAGAAGCAGCCAUCAUUUAAAGAGUGCGUAAUAGCUCACUAGUCGAGUGACACUGCGCCGAAAAUGUACCGGGGCUAAACAUAUUACCGAAGCUGUGGAUUGUCCUUUGGACAAUGGUAGGAGAGCGUUCUAAGGGCGUUGAAGCAUGAUCGUAAGGACAUGUGGAGCGCUUAGAAGUGAGAAUGCCGGUGUGAGUAGCGAAAGACGGGUGAGAAUCCCGUCCACCGAUUGACUAAGGUUUCCAGAGGAAGGCUCGUCCGCUCUGGGUUAGUCGGGUCCUAAGCUGAGGCCGACAGGCGUAGGCGAUGGAUAACAGGUUGAUAUUCCUGUACCACCUAUAAUCGUUUUAAUCGAUGGGGGGACGCAGUAGGAUAGGCGAAGCGUGCGAUUGGAUUGCACGUCUAAGCAGUAAGGCUGAGUAUUAGGCAAAUCCGGUACUCAUUAAGGCUGAGCUGUGAUGGGGAGAAGACAUUGUGUCUUCGAGUCGUUGAUUUCACACUGCCGAGAAAAGCCUCUAGAUAGAAAAUAGGUGCCCGUACCGCAAACCGACACAGGUAGUCAAGAUGAGAAUUCUAAGGUGAGCGAGCGAACUCUCGUUAAGGAACUCGGCAAAAUGACCCCGUAACUUCGGGAGAAGGGGUGCUCUUUAGGGUUAACGCCCAGAAGAGCCGCAGUGAAUAGGCCCAAGCGA